rnacentral:rRNA from 1 species
AUUGAACGCUGGCGGCAGGCCUAACACAUGCAAGUCGAACGGUAACAGGAAGAAGCUUGCUUCUUUGCUGACGAGUGGCGGACGGGUGAGUAAUGUCUGGGAAACUGCCUGAUGGAGGCGGAUAACUACUGGAAACGGUAGCUAAUACCGCAUAACGUCGCAAGACCAAAGAGGGGGACCUUCGGGCCUCUUGCCAUCGGAUGUGCCCAGAUGGGUUUAGCUAGUAGGUGGGGUAACGGCUCACCUAGGCGACGAUCCCUAGCUGGUCUGAGAGGAUGACCAGCCACACUGGGACUGAGACACGGUCCAGACUCCUACAGGAGGCAGCAGUGGGGAAUAUUGCCCGAUGGGCGCAAGCCUGAUGCAGCCGUGCCGCGUGGAUGAAGAGGGCCUUCGGGUUGUAAAGUACUUUCAGCGGGGAGGAAGAGUGUAAAGUUGAUACCUUCUCUCAUUGACGUUACCCGCAGAAGAAGCACCGGCUAACUCCGUG